GCACAACGCGAAGAACCUUACCCACCUUUGACAUGUACGGAAUCCUUUAGAGAUAGAGGAGUGCUCGAAAGAGAGCCGUAACACAGGUGCUGCAUGGCUGUCGUCGGCUCGUGUCGUGAGAUGUUGGGUUAAGUCCCGCAACGAGCGCAACCCUUGCCAUUAGUUGCUACGAAAGGGCACUCUAAUGGGACUGCCGGUGACAAACCGGAGGAAGGUGGGGAUGACGUCAAGUCCUCAUGGCCCUUAUAGGUGGGGCUACACACGUCAUACAAUGGCUGGUACAGAGGGUUGCCAACCCGCGAGGGGAGCCAAUCCCACAAAGCCAGUCGUAGUCCGGAUCGCAGUCUGCAACUCGACUGCGUGAAGUCGGAAUCGCUAGUAAUCGCGGAUCAGAAUGUCGCGGUGAAUACGUUCCCGGGUCUUGUACACACCG
rnacentral:rRNA from 1 species